UACGUAGGUGGCAAGCGUUGUCCGGAAUUAUUGGGCGUAAAGCGCGCGCAGGCGGUCCUUUAAGUCUGAUGUGAAAGCCCACGGCUCAACCGUGGAGGGUCAUUGGAAACUGGGGGACUUGAGUACAGAAGAGAAGAGUGGAAUUCCACGUGUAGCGGUGAAAUGCGUAGAGAUGUGGAGGAACACCAAUGGCGAAGGCGACUCUUUGGUCUGUAACUGACGCUGAGGCGCGAAAGCGUGGGGAGCAAACGG
rnacentral:rRNA from 1 species